rnacentral:rRNA from 1 species
GACGAACGCUGGCGGCGUGCCUAAUACAUGCAAGUCGAGCGGAAUGAUGAAGAAGCUUGCUUCUUCUGAUUUUAGCGGCGGACGGGUGAGUAACACGUGGGCAACCUACCUUGUAGAUUGGGAUAACUCCGGGAAACCGGGGCUAAUACCGAAUAAUCCAUUUUGCUUCAUGGCGAGAUGUUGAAAGACGGUUUCGGCUGUCACUACAAGAUGGGCCCGCGGCGCAUUAGCUAGUUGGUAGGGUAAUGGCCUACCAAGGCGACGAUGCGUAGCCGACCUGAGAGGGUGGUCGGCCACACUGGGACUGAGACACGGCCCAGACUCCUACGGGAGGCAGCAGUAGGGAAUCUUCCACAAUGGACGAAAGUCUGAUGGAGCAACGCCGCGUGAGUGAAGAAGGUUUUCGGAUCGUAAAACUCUGUUGUAAGGGAAGAACACGUACGAGAGUAACUGCUCGUACCUUGACGGUACCUUAUUAGAAAGCCACGGCUAACUACGUG